rnacentral:rRNA from 1 species
UACGUAGGCAGCAAGCGUUGUUCGGAGUUACUGGGCGUAAAGGGUGCGUAGGCGGCUUCUUAAGUCUGGUGUGAAAUCUCCCGGCUCAACUGGGAGGGUGCGCCGGAUACUGAGGGGCUAGAGUGUGGGAGAGGAAAGUGGAAUUCCUGGUGUAGCGGUGAAAUGCGUAGAUAUCAGGAGGAACACCGGUGGUGUAAACGGCUUUCUGGACCAUAUCUGACGCUGAGGCACGAAAGCGUGGGUAGCAAACAGG